CAUCCGUCCCACUAUUUUUCAUGCCCAAUAUUAACCGUCCAUCUUAUUUAUUUUUUUAAAAAAAUUAAAAAUAUAAGUCACGCAUAAAGUACUAUUCAUAUUUUAUCAUCUUAUAACAAUAAAAAUACUAAUUUAAAAAGAAUUUAAAUAAAAUGGACGAUCGAAGUUGUACACGAAAACUUAUGGUUACACUUGGA
rfam:Oryza sativa (indica cultivar-group) chromosome 11, whole genome shotgun sequence.